GGGCCGCUAGCUCACCAGGUAGAGCACCGCCCUUUUAAGGCGGGGGCAGCAGGUUCAAGUCCUGCGCGGCCUA
rnacentral:tRNA from 1 species